rnacentral:rRNA from 1 species
UACGUAGGGUGCAAGCGUUAUCCGGAAUUAUUGGGCGUAAAGAGCUCGUAGGCGGUCUGUCGCGUCGGCUGUGAAAACCCGGAGCUCAACUCCGGGCCUGCAGUCGAUACGGGCAGACUGGAGUUCGGCAGAGGGAAGCGGAAUUUCGGGUGUAGCGGUGAAAUGCGUAGAUAUCCGAAGGAACAUCAGUGGCGAAAGCGGCUUCCUGGACCAGAACUGACGAUCAGGCACGAAAGCCGUGGGGAGCAAACAG